rnacentral:lncRNA from 12 species
CAUGAGAGAAUGGAGACCCCUGAGAGCUCAUUGAAUCUAUCCGCUUCAUGGACGAUGUAUUGGCACAUGUUUUGUGACAGUACAAUCUACAAUGCCUAUAACUCUGGAAGUCCAUGAGUGCCUGGUAUUUAACAAUAUUAUGCCAUUCAAGGAGCAUUUCUUGACUGACAGAAAUGUGCCAUUUUAAAUGUUAAGAUUAAGCUAAAAAAACAUAUUUUUUUUUCCUACAGUAUUUCUACAGGGGAACUGAAAUACCUGCCCUAACAGUGGGACCCAGGCAAGCAUGUAUGUGCUAUUAUCUGACAGGUACAAAGCAGCGAUUUGCAGGUUUGCAACCUAAGUGUGAUCCUGGAAUUGCCUGAAAGUCUUGUUAAAAAUACAGAUGGUGGAGCUUCCCCUCCAGAGUCUCUGAUCCGGCAGGUCUAAUGUGAAGCCUGAGAAUUUCCAUUUCUCACAAACUGCCAGGUGAUGCUGUGAUGCCCUCUUUCCAGGACCAGACUUGGAGAAGCACCAGCCUAAGAGAAUCAUAGAAGUGUAUACUUUUGAGAGAACUCAAUAUAAUAAAAGAGUUUCCUUUUUUACAAGAAUAGCUUAGAGAAAAACGGUUCAUCAGCAACUGAUGAACUAUCCACACUAGGAAUUAAGAUUGAAGAACUAUUAUUAAAUUUAAAUAUUUCUCUUAUAUAAGUUUUUAAAGAUUGUUGGCUGGACUUAUUUAGGAACUCAAAGUAAGUAAUGUCUUUCCAAGGAAAAAUGAGCAUAAGAAAAAUACUAUUCAGGCCUGCUAGGUGGAUGAAGGGGUUCUCAAGGGAUAGUUGGUAUAUUAAUGAAAUAUAUUUGUUUUCUGAUAUUGAGACACUCAAGGUCCCCUGCACUGAACUUGCCCCUUGGCCAUCUUAGCAUUUGUGCUUCUUUUGUUAGCUUACAUUUUGGUUCUUCUUCUCUUUCCCUGAAAUCCUCCACAGGCUCUUUCUCCUUUGUUGUUAAGACCUCUCUUCAAACCCAGUUGCUUCAAGACAGAAAGAUGACGCUGUAA